GAUAUCAACUGAAAAAGUCAUCAACAACAAAGUUGAAUAACUCAUCAAGAUCUAAAACUUUUAUUUUGGUCAUUUCUUCAUACGACAAAGUGAUAGUAACAUUGUUCACAAAAUUGACAUAUCUCUUAUCUGGUUUUAUAAACUAUAACACAUAUAUGUAAAAUUUGUGAAUAAUAUUACUAACAUUUCGUCAGAUGAAGAAAUAACAAAAAUAAAAGUUUUAGAUCUUGAUGAGUUAUUCAACUUUGUUGUUGAUGACUUUUUCAAUUGAAAUC
rfam:Oryza sativa Japonica Group DNA, chromosome 12, cultivar: Nipponbare, complete sequence.